rnacentral:rRNA from 1 species
AGCGAACGCUGGCGACAGGCUUAACACAUGCAAGUCGAACGCCCCGCAAGGGGAGUGGCAGACGGGUGAGUAACACGUGGGAACGUACCCUUUGGUUCGGAAUAACUUGGGGAAACUCAAGCUAAUACCGGAUAAGCCCUUAUGGGGAAAGGUUUACUGCCGAAGGAUCGGCCCGCGUCUGAUUAGCUAGUUGGUGAGGUAAUGGCUCACCAAGGCGACGAUCAGUAGCUGGUCUGAGAGGAUGAUUAGCCACACUGGGACUGAGACACGGCCCAGACUCCUACGGGAGGCAGCAGUGGGGAAUAUUGGACAAUGGGGGCAACCCUGAUCCAGCCAUGCCGCGUGAGUGAUGAAGGCCUUAGGGUUGUAAAGCUCUUUUACCCGGGACGAUAAUGACUGUACCGGGAGAAUAAGCCCCGGCUAACUUCGUGCCAGCCGCCGCAGUAA